CUUGGUGGCCGUAGCGCGGUGGUCCCACCUGACCCCAUGCCGAACUCAGAAGUGAAACGCCGUAGCGCCGAUGGUAGUGUGGGGUCUCCCCAUGCGAGAGUAGGGAACUGCUAGGC
rnacentral:rRNA from 1 species